rnacentral:rRNA from 1 species
UACGUAGGGGGCAAGCGUUGUCCGGAAUCAUUGGGCGUAAAGCGCGUGUAGGCGGACUGGAAGGUCUGGUGUGAAAGCCCGGGGCUCAACCCCGGAGGGUCACUGGAAACCGACAGUCUCGAGUCCGGAAGAGGAGAGUGGAAUUCCUGGUGUAGCGGUGGAAUGCGCAGAUAUCAGGAGGAACACCUAUGGCGAAGGCAGCGCUCUGGUACGUGACUGACGCUGAGACGCGAAAGCGUGGGGAGCGAACAGG